rnacentral:rRNA from 1 species
AUUGAACGCUGGCGGCAGGCCUAACACAUGCAAGUCGGGCGAGCGGCGGACGGGUGAGUAAUUUAUGGGGAUCUGCCUGAUGGCGGGGGAUAACUACUGGAAACGGUAGCUAAUACCGCAUACCAUCAGAUUAUCCCAUAUGGCAUUUGCUUGUAGGUGAGGUAACGGCUCACCUAGGCGACGAACCCUCGCUGGACUGAGAGGAUGAUCAGCCAGACGGGGAAUGAGAAACGGCCAAGACUCGUACGGGAGGUAGAAUUGGGGAAUAUUGCACAAGGGGCGCAAGACGGAUGCAGACAGGGCGCGUGUAUGAAGAAGGCCUUAGGGUGGGAAAGUACUUGCAGUAGGGAGGCGGUAAAGAAAGAAGAAGCACAGGCUAACUCCGUGCCAGCAGCCGCGGUAAUAG